GGACCGGAAAUAGUAGGUAAUCCGGGUACUGUUUUAUCAGUAGUUCAAAUUCGAACAUACUCCUUGUGUCACAUCCUGUUUUUUUACUGUAUAUAGUAAAGAAGCUAUUUCAGAUUCAGCCAAAGUGUUUGCAUGCCUGUUUAUUGCGAUUAAACGAAAUAGUAAAUCAUCCACACAAUUUAGCAAAUCAAGGGGACCAAAAUGAGCGUCGUAUGGAAGCGGUUGAGGUAACACCAUCUUACGUUAAGAUCAGCAUGACCUUGCAGUGCAUCAUUCAGCUCAAGAAGACUGUGAAAAGCAGCGCAUCUCCUCGUUUGAUGGCUGUGACGCUGAGAGGCGGAAACAGCGAUUUCAAAGUUCGAUUCAGUCUGUCCGUGUAUAUGUAUCACCGAGUGCCAAACCGAAUGCAUCCCAGCCUGUGUGUCUGGGCAUUUCCAAGAUCAAUCUCUAUCUUGCUUGUACCAAGUUGGAUGAUUCCUCCCUUCACCUGGUCUUGGAGGUUUGUUCACCACAACCUGUGACAUGUGCCAAGUAACCGAUUCACAAACUUCAGGCUGGAGGAGAAACAACAGAUCCGGAAUUAAGAAUCAAAUUUGAAUUCAAAUUUCCUAAAUAUUUCCAGAGAGUAUGUACCAAGUACAGUUUAUAAUCUCGAUUUAUUCAUCGUUCCAAACCUUGUAAGACUUGAUGUGUACAGGCAGCUGUUAGACUCCUGCAGAUCUUGGGCUUCUGGAUCUUGUUUUUUGCACUAUGUGAGGAUAUUAAUGUGGUAAUGGUAAAUUCACAUUGAAUUUUUUUUCUAAGUAUUAAUGUUUUUCUAUAUCCAUAAUAUAUAAUAUUAUCCAUAAUAUUUUAAAGUAUUCUAGAUUAUUUUAAAUGUAUUUAUUUAUUUUUUUUCAUAUUGAUUGUGUUAUGAAAUAAACCUAUGAAAUAAUCAUUA